rnacentral:rRNA from 1 species
GGCUUGUUGAUAAUAAUUUCAGGUCUAACCUGCCCAAUGAGAAUGAUUUAAUGGCCGCAGUAUUUUUAACUGUGCAAAGGUAGCAUAAUCACUAGUUUUUUAAUUGAGAGCUUGAAUGAAUGGUUUGAUGAAAAAAUUUCUGUCUCUAGAAAAAUUUAUUAGAAUUUUAUUUUUAAGUGAAAAAGCUUAAAUAUUUAUUGAAGACGAGAAGACCCUAUAGAGUUUUAUAUUUAUAUAUAAUUUAUUGGUUUGGGAAUGGAUGGCUAUAAAUUGUGUAGAGAUAUUUAAUUGGGGUGAUUGAAAAAUUUAAUAAACUUUUUUUUUAUUUAAACACUAAUUUGUGAUUUUAUGAUCCUAAAAUUUAGAUUACAAGAAUUAAUUACCUUAGGGAUAACAGCGUAAUUUUCUCUAGAGUUCUUAUCGAAAAGAAGGAUUGCGACCUCGAUGUUGGAUUAAAAUUUAUUUUUGGUGAAGAAGCUAAAAUAUUUGGGUCUGUUCGACCUUUAAAAUUUUACAUGAUCUGAGUUUAAACCGGUGUGAG